rnacentral:rRNA from 1 species
UACAGAGGGGGCAAGCGUUGUUCGGAAUUACUGGGCGUAAAGGGCGCGUAGGCGGCCCGCUAAGUCGAACGUGAAAUCCCCGGGCUCAACCCGGGAACUGCGUCCGAUACUGGUGGGCUUGAAUCCGGGAGAGGGAUGCGGAAUUCCAGGUGUAGCGGUGGAAUGCACAGAUAUCAGGAGGAACACCAAUAGCGAAGGCAGCUCGCUGGGACGGUACUGACGCUAAGGCGCGAAAGCGUGGGGAGCGAACAGG